UGGGUAGCAUUUGUUAAAUGUCUUCCGAAAAGUCAUACACACAUUCAACUGUUUGUUUUAGCUCGUUCCUUUGCUGUCUCCACAAAGUUCCAAACGACCCUAACUGUCUCUUAACGUCUUAUUGCCUCGAUACUCACAUUUCUUUGAUUUAUUUUUUUUACAUUUCUUUUUUCCCUCGGCGUUAACCGUCUUAAGUGAUGUCUCUUUUAUGGUGUAAUAGUUGGUGAACAAUUAACCUUUGAAAAUGAAUUGGGCUCUGUAUUUUCAUAAUGGUAAAGUAUAUGCCAAGUUAAGUCAACAUAUUUAAACUAUGACGGACUACGAAGAGUGUAGAGUGUUAACAAGGAAAUCUAGAUAUUCAUAAGGACUAAGUAUGAAUCAAAUAUGGUAAAAAUCCUAGAAUGAUGUUGAAUAUAGAGUGUCAACAAUUGUUUGACGGACCGAAGGACCUAAUGGAAGCGAAAAUACAGACAAAUGUUAUUUUAACAAUGGCAAUCGGGCUUAAAGGGUAAUUGAAUUAUCUUAGUGCAAGCCCGUUAUAGGGC
rnacentral:lncRNA from 1 species